UUAUUUGAAAUAGGAUACAACCUCAACCACUGGGUAAAAAAAGACAAUAAAAAUAAAGUGGGCCCAAGAGCAGCCACCUUUAAAAAAGCGUCAAAGCUUCACUAUUACAGUCCCAAAUUACUAAAUCAUCCACUAACCCGUCAUCUCUACUGAACCGCUUUAUAUACUAUAAAAACGAUUAUGCUAGAACUAGUAACAAGAACUUGCCAUUCUCCACAAUGUAAUUAUAAACCAAAACGGACUCUCCGCUGGUAAUUAACGUAAAUGAAAAACCAUAAUAACACAUAAACCAGAAAACCUUAUGGCCACAACACGUUACCCUAACACUAGAACAUUUCAGGAAAGAUUAAAAGAAAGAGAAGGAACUCGGCAAAUUUUAGCCCCGCCUGUUUACCAAAAACAUCGCCUCCUGCUUAAACAUAGGAGGUCCAGCCUGCCCAGUGAUAACAUUAAACGGCCGCGGUAUUCUGACCGUGCGAAGGUAGCAUAAUCACUUGUUCCUUAAAUAGGGACUCGUAUCAACGGCAUCACGAGGGCUAUACUGUCUCCCCUCUCCAAUCAGUGAAACUGAUCCCCCCGUGAAGAAGCGGGGAUUUAGCUAUAAGACGAGAAGACCCCAUGGAGCUUUAAACUCAACAUACACCCCUUCACUCAAACAUCAACUCAGCCUGGGGCCCUGUACGUUGGUUUUAGGCUGGGGGGACCACGGAGUAAAAUCAAACCUCCACAACAAAUGGGCUAAUACCCUUAUCCACGAUCUACAAAUCCAAGAAUCAUUAAAAUGAUGUUCAAUGACCCGAUAACUCGAUCAAUGAACCAAGUUACCCUGGGGAUAACAGCGCAAUCCACUCCAAGAGCUCAUAUCGACAAGUGGGUUUACGACCUCGAUGUUGGAUCAGGGUAUCCUAGUGGUGCAGCCGCUACUAAAGGUUCGUUUGUUCAACGAUUAAAACCCU
rnacentral:rRNA from 1 species